ACGGGUGAGUAAUACAUCGGAACGUAUCCUGGAGUGGGGGGUAGCCCGGCGAAAGCCGGAUUAAUACCGCAUACGCUCUGAGGAGGAAAGCGGGGGACCUUCGGGCCUCGCGCUCAAGGGGCGGCCGAUGGCGGAUUAGGUAGUUGGUGGGGUAAAGGCCUACCAAGCCGACGAUCCGUAGCUGGUCUGAGAGGACGACCAGCCACACUGGGACUGAGACACGGCCCAGACUCCUACGGGAGGCAGCAGUGGGGAAUUUUGGACAAUGGGGGCAACCCUGAUCCAGCAAUGCCGCGUGUGUGAAGAAGGCCUUCGGGUUGUAAAGCACUUUUGUCCGGAAAGAAAUCAUCGGGGCCAAUACCCCUGGUGGAUGACGGUACCGGAAGAAUAAGCACCGGCUAACUACGUGCCAGCAGCCGCGGUAAUACGUAGGGUGCGAGCGUUAAUCGGAAUUACUGGGCGUAAAGCGUGCGCAGGCGGUGCUGUAAGACCGAUGUGAAAUCCCCGGGCUUAACCUGGGAACUGCAUUGGUGACUGCAGCGCUGGAGUAUGGCAGAGGGGGGUGGAAUUCCACGU
rnacentral:rRNA from 1 species